rnacentral:tRNA from 1 species
ACGUGCGUAGCUCAAUUGGCAGAGCAAUGGCCUCCAAAUCCAUAGGUUGCGGGUUCGAUUCCUGCCGCACGUGCCA